rnacentral:rRNA from 1 species
GACGAACGCUGGCGGCGUGCUUAACACAUGCAAGUCGAACGGUGAAGCGCCUUCCUUUUUGGUGGGUGUGGAUGGGUGGCGAACGGGUGAGUAACACGUGAGUAACCUGCCCCCUUCUUCUGGAUAACCGCAUGAAAGUGUGGCUAAUACGGGAUAUUCUGGGUCUGUCGCAUGAUGGGUCUGGGAAAGAUAUUGUUUCGGUGGGGGAUGGGCUCGCGGCCUAUCAGCUUGUUGGUGGGGUGAUGGCCUACCAAGGCGGUGACGGGUAGCCGGCCUGAGAGGGUGGACGGUCACACUGGGACUGAGACACGGCCCAGACUCCUACGGGAGGCAGCAGUGGGGAAUAUUGCACAAUGGGCGCGAGCCUGAUGCAGCGACGCCGCGUGAGGGAUGGAGGCCUUCGGGUUGUGAACCUCUUUCGCCAGUGAAGCAGGCCUGCCUCGUUUGUGGGUGGGUUGACGGUAGCUGGAUAAGAAGCGCCGGCUAACUACGUG